GGAUUAUGGCUCUUUCGCUUCCUGUCAGGACAAAGUCUCUAAUGUGAAGACUCUCUCUUAGAAGGUUCUCAUUUCCUUCAGGAAUGCUUGUUUCAGGCCUGCUCAGGAGGAGGUGGCUGCAGUGGUAUGUGGUUACUGCAGGUUCAUGGCUGAAGAGGAAUUUUACCCCUGGAUAGACACACCUCAAGUCACAUCCAUACUUGCCUUGGUCGUCUGAAGUAAAUCAACAAAGAAACCAGAAUUGACAUCGUAGAUCAAAUGGACUAAACACAUUUCUUCAGAACAUCUCAUCCAACAGAAUGGAAACACAUUCUUAUCAGACUAUGGAACCUUCUUCAAAAUAGAAAAUACAAGCCACAAAGCAAGUCUUAAACAAAACAGGUGAAUUGAAAUAAUUUUGGAUAUCUUAUCAGACUAAUGGUAUAAUCAAACAAUAGCAAGAGAAAUGCUAGAAACUACAUAAUUACUUAGUGGCUGGGAUUUACUCUUGAAUAAGUAGUAGGUCACUGGAGAAAUUAAGGUGGAAAUAAAAAGAGUUCUUGAAUCAUGGGGCCAGAAAGAUGGCUCAGUGGUUAAGAGAAAUUGUCUCUCUUGCAUAGAACCCAGAUUUGGUUCCCAGCAGCUCACAACACUCUGUAACUCUAGUUCUAAGGGUCUAACAGCCUCUUCAGCCCUGUGGGCACCGCACACACACGAUGCAUUACAUAUAUUCAGGGAAACACUCAAAUGCAUAAAAUAAAAGUAAGUCAUAUUUUACAUUUCUUGAAUAAAGUGAAAAUGGAAACACAAGUUACCUGAUCUUUUGGGAUAGCACUAAUGUGGCUUUUGGAGGAAAAUUUAUACCUGUCAAUAUUUACAUUUAAAAAUACCU
rnacentral:lncRNA from 1 species